AUUGAACGCUGGCGGCAGGCCUAACACAUGCAAGUCGAACGAGUGGCGGACGGGUGAGUAAUGUCUGGGAAACUGCCUGAUGGAGGGGGAUAACUACUGGAAACGGUAGCUAAUACCGCAUAACAUCAGAUGUGCCCCGAUGGGAUUAGCUAGUUGGUGGGGUAACGGCUCACCAAGGCGACGAUCGCUAGCUGGUCGGAGAGGAUGACCAGCCACACGGGAAAUGAGACACGGGCCAGACUCCUACGGGAGGCAGCAGUGGGGAAUAUUGGACAAUGGGCGCAAGCCUGAUGCAGCCAUGCCGCGUGUAUGAAGAAGGCCUUCGGGUUGUGAAGUACUUUCAGCUGGGAGGCGUUACCCGCAGAAGAAGCACCGGCUAACUCCGUGCCAGCAGCCGCGGUAAUUC
rnacentral:rRNA from 1 species